rnacentral:rRNA from 1 species
GAUGAACGCUGGCGGCGUGCCUAAUACAUGCAAGUCGAGCGAACAGAUGAGGAGCUUGCUCCUCUGACGUUAGCGGCGGACGGGUGAGUAACACGUGGAUAACCUACCUAUAAGACUGGGAUAACUUCGGGAAACCGGAGCUAAUACCGGAUAAUAUAUUGAACCGCAUGGUUCAAUAGUGAAAGACGGUUUUGCUGUCACUUAUAGAUGGAUCCGCGCCGCAUUAGCUAGUUGGUAAGGUAACGGCUUACCAAGGCAACGAUGCGUAGCCGACCUGAGAGGGUGAUCGGCCACACUGGAACUGAGACACGGUCCAGACUCCUACGGGAGGCAGCAGUAGGGAAUCUUCCGCAAAGGGCGAAAGCUUGACGGAGCAACGCCGCGUGAGUGAUGAAGGUCUUCGGAUCGUAAAACUCUGUUAUUAGGGAAGAACAAAUGUGUAAGUAACUAUGCACGUCUUGACGGUACCUAAUCAGAAAGCCACGGCUAACUACGUA